CAGCAGCCGCGGUAAUACGUAGGGUGCGAGCGUUAAUCAGAAUUACUGGGCGUAAAGCGUGCGCAGGCGGUUAUAUAAGACAGAUGUGAAAUCCCCGGGCUCAACCUGGGACCUGCAUUUGUGACUGUAUAGCUAGAGUACGGUAGAGGGGGAUGGAAUUCCGCGUGUAGCAGUGAAAUGCGUAGAUAUGCGGAGGAACACCGAUGGCGAAGGCAAUCCCCUGGACCUGUACUGACGCUCAUGCACGAAAGCGUGGGGAGCAAACAGGAUUAGAUACCCCCGUAGUCCCUGUCUCUUAUAC
rnacentral:rRNA from 1 species